CCUGAACGAGCGAUGCCGCGUGAGCGAUGAAGGCCUUCGGGUUGUAAAGCUCAAAAGGGGUGAGAAAGGGCAACUUGAUCGAACCCCAGUAAGCUCGGGCUAAGUUCGUGCCAGCAGCCGCGGUAAGACGAACCGAGCGAACGUUGUUCGGAAUCACUGGGCUUAAAGGGCGCGUAGGCGGGUGCUCAAGUCCGGGGUGAAAUCCCACAGCUCAACUGUGGAACUGCCUCGGAUACUGGGUGUCUCGAGGGUGGUAGGGGUAUGCGGAACUAUCGGUGGAGACGGUGAAAUGCGUUGAUAUCGAUAGGAACUCCGGUGGCGAAGGCGGCAUACUGGACCACUUCUGACGCUGAGGCGCGAAAGCCAGGGGAGCAAACGGGAUUAGAUACCCCGGUAGUCCUGGCCCUAAACGAUGGGAACUAGCUAGUAGGCUUCACAUGGGUUUACUGGCGAAGCAAAAGUGCUAAGUUCCCCGCCUGGGGAGUAUGGUCGCAAGGCUG
rnacentral:rRNA from 1 species